UUUGUUUUUAUGGUUUAUGUCCAAAUGUUGCUAGGGCAGUUGAUGUCAAUAAAAGAGUAUCUUCCUGGACUAACAGUCUCCUUCUGCAUUCUUAAUGUUUUAUGAAACCAAGUACUUUUUUGUGCUUUUAGUUAUUGGUAUGAUAAAAUGAGAUCUGAUUAUAUGAACAAUUCAAGGCAGAUUGCACAUUUUUAUUUAAAAUACUAGUAUUGUGCAUACAGAAAAAGAGAACUUGUGCCUAUACGGGCUUCCUAAUGAGACAUGGGAAGUUAACCUGCCUGUUGAGGAAGUGCCUCCCGAGCUCCCUGAACCAGCGUUAGGUAUAAACUUUGCUAGAGAUGGAAUGCAGGAGAAGGACUGGUUAUCACUGGUUGCAGUGCACAGUGAUUCAUGGUUGCUUGCUGUAGCUUUUUAUUUUGGUGCACGCUUUGGAUUUGGCAAAAAUGAAAGGUAUUUUCUCUUUCAUGCCCAUUUACCUGCAUUUGCUGUAAUCUCCAGAGCCUUAGCAUUAGUAUCUGCUUUUUGGUAUCAUAUUGUUAGUUCUUAGUCCUGUCUCAUAGUUCUGCCACUGCUUUUCAACAUUACAAGAUGAUAAAGGGGAUAUGCAUAGAUAUAUCAUUAAAUUUUAUGGUUGAGAUUGUUUCAAUUGAAAGAUCAAGGCAGUAAGUCCAGGGGAGAGUAAAAAUAUAUGUUUGAUUAUUUCACUUAUUUUUGUAAGAAUAUAUGUUUGAUCAUUCCACAUAUUUAUCUUUUAUAAUGCUAAUUGGUGAUGAUUUGUCUUCUCUCAUAUUUGUAUUUAUAACUAUUUAUUGGUAACUUGAUCUACCAAUAUUAAGUUUAACAAGUCCAAUAAUGUUGUCUUGACAAUAAUUUAUGAUUGGUUAUUCUGUGGUCAACAAUUUAAGGUCAAGGCUUUUGUUUUAUACAUUCUGGACCAUUUUUUGCUGCUAGAGCUCGUCUGUCGUCUUGUAAAAUUCGGUUUGAACCACCUUGGUUACUAUGUUUCAUUCAUCUCAUUCAUGCUACAAAGUCAUAUGAUCAACUGUAUGACAUAUGAUGUUUGACAACCUAUGCAUUCAAGUUGUCAUUAACGAAAGGAAGUUUAUGGUCUCCGACAAAGUCUUGACUCAUUCAGCCGGUUGACACUGCUCAAUGGAAUGUUAAUAAUCUAAUUGGGUAUCAUAGAUUUCUUGAACAAAAGACAUAGUAGGAGUAACUGAACAAUAUACUAUGGAACUAUUGUUGAAGUUAUACAUGAUAUGGAAAACCUGCGAUGCUAUGCUUGACCAGGAAGUUUAAUAAAGUCAAGAUGAAUGUCUGGUUCUAAUUUUUCUUGGAAUUGGAUCUUGCAGGAAGAAACUUUUCCAGAUGAUAAAUGAUCUCCCGACCAUCUUUGAAGUUGUAACAGGAAAUGCUAAGCAACCAAAGGACCCUUAUUUGUUGAAUCCAUUCUCCGGUUCCCGGAUUCUGCGGAACUUUUCCGGACGUUGUGGGUCGUCAUGGCGAUGGCUACAACGUAAUUUGAAGUUGAUCACGAAGAUAUAAAUGGCUGUAGCACCGACGCGUUUCACGACAAUCAAGGAAAUCAAAGAUUGUUUCUUCCAUAAGUCCAUUCUGUCGGGGAGUCCCUACUUUCAGGAUAAUGACAAUGUAGUUGUAGCCAUCUACAAUGAUAGAUCAAAGUGGUUCAAUAUUUCAAGGCCAAGAACAUUAUUGUUACUGCUAUGGCGAUGUUAUUUGAGUAUCUCAAAAUGGUGCUAGUACUGUUUAUGCAUUAUCACUAAGUCCCGGUACAGGAUGGUCCAUUUGAAGAAUGGGAUUUCAAGAAAUUACAGAAUGAUUAUAAUGCUCCUCCUGUAAAAAUAAUGGGUUUGAAUUUGAAGCCAUCAUUUCCAAACUCAUGGGAUGUAGAUACCAAGCCAUGUCAUGUGGCUGUAAACUCAUACUUGGUAGAAUCUAAGUCGUAGGAUAUUUUGUUUCUUUUUAUUUUGUUUAUAGCCUCAAAUUCCCUUAUUUGUUUACGAUGAAUCAAAUUUUUGAAAUAUAAAAUUUAGAUAAAAUAAUUAAAUAAAAAAUAAUUUAAUUUAUAUAAUAAAAAAUAAAAUUUAAUUAAAUCAUAUUUUCUUUUUUUUUUUCUAGGAAAAAAAGUGUACAAAUGUAUGUGAGCAUAUAUUAUUGAUAAGUAACACUAUCCAUCAAAAAAUUUAUCCAAAACUUUUCAUCCAAAGCAAUGUAAAAGACGGCAUUGGUGUAGAGUGUGUAAAAAAUCAACUUAAAACUUUGAGAAAAAUUUUUAUAUACAUCACAUGACAUAAUCUUCUCAUUUUUGCUACAAUUUUUGCAAUGAUUUUUGGAAUAAGUGCACUCUUCUUAUCACCCAAAUAUACAGUAAGAACACUUCAAUGUAUUAGUUUCAAUUUAAUUUAAGCUCAGUUAUUGAAUUGCUCAUUCAAUAAGCAUUCUUCAUGUUAUAUGCUUAAUUUGAAGAUUCGAAUCUUCACUAUCUUUAUCACGAAAUUUUUGAGUCUCACAUGUAUACUGUUGUGCGCGGAAUGCGGAAUCAAGCGCACCAAAUAAUUACUGAAAAAUAAAGGACACAAGAAUUUACGUGGUUCAGUAAUUAAACUUACAUCCACGGAGGCAAGAAAGAAUAAUUGUUUAUUUAACAAUUAAUAGAAUACAAUAUUUGAGUAACGAAUCUCACUUCCCAGAAACCCAAAUAUAUCCAGUACUCUCACACUCUGCAAGAAAAAUAAAUUUCCCAGACACACUUCUCUCACUUCUCUCAAAAGCUUAGAAACUUAUAAGCUUAACAAUUUUUGGGAUGAUUUCAAAUGAAUGAAAUCCUUAGCUAUUUAUAGGAGAAAUGAAUUACUAUGCAAAGAAUAAAAUAAUUAAAAAUAUAAUAAAUUAUUAUUAUUAUUUUCAAAUCCAUCCCCUUUUUCCAUUCUUUCUUUUCGGCUUACAAAACCAAAUUAGAUUUUGCUUCUCCAAAGCUUGCAUGCUAGCUGUUGCAAAGUUGGCAUUGGCUUCUGACUUUUCAACAUAUAUCACAUAAUUUCACUACCUAAGUAUCUUAAAAGUAAAUCGGAUUCAUGAUUUAAUUAUGAUUUAAUAUCUAUAUAAUAUGAUGCAUGAUAAAUGAACUACUUUUUCAAAGUCCCAUAUAAAAAUUGUUAAGGGUGAUCUCAAUUUCUAAAUUAGCAAUCAUUGAAUUUUAAUUUUCUCUUACAUUUUCUUUUAAUGUAUUUUUAUUUUGUCAGUUGAUGGUAGGGAUGAGAAUGGGGAGGCGAGUGAUUGACAUCCUAGUACCCAUCCACAAUGUUCUGCUUAAGUAUGUGUACUUCCUCAUGUCCCCGUUAUAAAAAUGUAAAUAUCUGAGGGGAGGGAAUAACAUUUCCGUCCAACUCAAUUAAUAUCAUUGAUAUUAUACAAUAAUCCAUACGUGAUUUGUCCACAACACACGAAUAUUAAAAUAAACGACUGCGAAUUAAAAUAUUUCGUCAAAUUAAGUUAAUAGUAUCAAUAUUACAACGUAAUUAAUAUGUGAUUCGUCCACUACAAAAAAAAGUGGUAUUUGUCUAUAGGGAAAUUAUCACCGGUAUACCUUUAAGUGACACCAAUAUCAAACGUGAUACAACACUUUUCAAGUGCAUCACUCGUAUACCCUAAGUUGACAAAACACUUCUACCGUCCACCUUUCCGUUAACUGCCGUUAAGAACUUAACGGAAUUUGAGCAAAAUGACUAUUUUACCCUUUAAACUCAAAAUGAGGUAAAAAAAUAAUUUUUCCUUGAAAAUUAAUGUAAAUUUUCAAUACACAAUUUUUUUUAAUUUUGUUAUUAACAAUACAUUUUUUAAUUAAAAAAAUAAAUUAUUAAUGGUACAUAUUAUUAACAAUUAUUCAUAAAAAAUAUUCAUCUUAUACCAUAAAAAUCAUUAACAACAUAUUAUUUAUAAUUAUACAUAUUAUAUCAUAAAAAAUUCAAGGUGGAGCUUGGAGGAGUAGAUCUUCAAUAAUUUAGGUUAAAUUUUGGAGGAGUAGAUUCGGUUGUAAAGUAAUUUUUUUUUUUUAGCAAUUAUUAACAAUUAUCUGAUAAAUGGGAUGACAUGUCAUUUUUAUCAAAAUAUAGCAUAUGACAUGUCGUUUUUUACUAUGUAAAUGAGAUGACAUGUCGUUUUUUUAAAAAGACUAGAUUACCCUUAUGAUGUCAGCGCUCACAAACGGCAGUUAACGGAUCGGUGGACGGUAGAAGUGUUUUGUCAACUUAGGGUAUAUGAGUGAUGCACUUGAAAAGUGUUGUAGCACGUUUGAUACUGGUGUCAUUUAAGGGUAUAUGGUUGAUAAUUUCCCUUGUCUAUAUAACAGAAGCAGUGACAAAUUUUAUUCUUGUCUUUACAUUAUUUUUAUAAAUAUUAUGAUUUUUUUUGUUUAUAUAUUUUAAAUGUAUUUUAUUAAAGUUAUGGAAAAAUAUAAUAAAAGUUAAAAGGAUUUGGAUCCUCUCUUUUUAAUCUUAUUUUUUCUAAGAUUAAUUUUGUAGGAGAUUAUAAUAUUUGUCAAUUACGUAGAAAAUUUUCCAUUUUAAACGCCAAAACACAUCGUUUAGUAACUAAUAACUAUAAUCCUAAAACUAAUGGGAGUUUAAUUUUAACGUUCGACUUUUUUUUUCCCCAUUUUCUUUACACAUUUUGUAGCCUCUUUCAUCUCUCACUGCUUCUUCAAAACCAGAAACUUAAUUUGGUAAUGAAGAAUUCCACCAAUUAAAAAAAAAAGGCAGGUUAAUUUUAUUUUCUUUUUUUUCAAAUUUGGAGCUCUCUCGUUUCUCAUCUCAGUUCUCUUCUGUUGGAGAAUUUAUGAACCGUAGGAUUUCAACAAUGAAAGAAAACAGAAAAAAGGAGGGGAAAGUAAUCAUAGAUAACUAUAAUUGAAAUAAACAAGAGCAAACUUCUAUUUAUAUUGAACUUAUAUGUAUAACCAUAUUCCAAUGAGAAUUUUAUAUUUUCAAAAUUGAUUUAAUUUUGAUAUUUGUUUCAAAAUAUUUUUAAUUGUGAUCAUUGUACUAAAAUCAAAUGCAAAAUAAGAAAAGAGUGGUUUAAAUAAUAAUGGCACGGGAGAGUUUACAUUUGUGAAGAAGAAAUAGGAGAUAAGAUGGUAGACAAGGAAAAGAGAAGAGAUGACAUAAUUUAGGGUUAACAUAUGAUAGUUGCUAAUUAUUUUAUUUUAGUUAUUCAUUAAAUCGAUAUAUGGCGUUUAGGAAGAAAAAAUUAAAAGUAAAUUAAAUCUUACCCCUAGAUACACUUAAAUGGCAAGUGUCAUGAUCUCCCAUAAAUCUUGGGAAAAAUUAGAUUAGAAAUAGAAGUAAAAACAAUGAAAAUAGAGAGGAGAUAAAGAUUUCACCUGAUUCCCAUCAUUUAUUCGAAUAAAAAAUAAAUAUUAGAUUGUAAUUAUCCCCUGAUUGAAUAAAAAAUUAGAUAUCAAAUUAUACCCAUCUACUCCCCAAAUGAAAAUAAUCCCCAAAGAUCCGAUCCCCUUAGUAAUUUUUGACAUCCCUAAUUGGUGGUUUGCCCCAUGAUACAUGUAUCCUUGACAAAAAUAAAUAAAUAGAUGACAUACUAGUCAUGUCGUCAGGCUAUAUUACAUAAGUUUGUUGGUGAAAAGCACAUGCACGAAUUAAAUCGGUUAGCUCAAAACAACAUACUCAAAUAUGUAAUUGAAAAACAUAACAUGAUUUUCUCCAUAGACUUCAUUAUUUCAAAAUUUACAUUGCAAUAAUAAUUUGGGUUCUAUUAAUUUGAAUUAGUUUUACGGUGGAAACACUGACGAUGACUGCAUAGUCAUAAAAAUAAAUAUUACAUAUAUAUUUAUUAUUAUAAUUUAAUGGUUAACAUAUUUAUUCAACUGAAAGUGCUGGUCCAAUUUAACUACAACCAAAUAUUUUAUAAGAAAUUCUUAAAUUACAUUUAAUAUACCUUACAUCCACUCACAUGAACAAUAUAUAGUGUAAAACACACUUGUUAAUAUAACUUUACAUUUACCUAUUUUAUAUGACCAGUAUUACGUUACGUUAAUCGUAACGUACACCACACACAACAACAAUAACAGGUCCCACUAUAAGUAUUUUUACUGUGUGUGAAUGUACGUUAGGGGCUCCCAUUUUAUAUAUCUUACAUUCAAGUUACAAGUUUUACUUUUACUAGAGCUGGCAAAAUUUGACACGACCCGAUUACCCGACACGAACACGACAUAAAUAAAUGGGUAUGGGUCGUCAAAUUUAACACGAUUAUUAAAUGGGUCGGGUUCGGGUCAACACGAUUUUUUUCCGUGUCGGGUUUGGGUUAAAAUUCUUGACCCAUUUACCCGAUCAAUGGCCCGAUUAUAUUUUCUAUUUUAAAAUAAUUUACAUAUUCUUAUAAUUAAAACUCAAAUAUUAGAGAUGAUUUUCUUAAUUAAAACCUCAAUAGUGUAAAUGUGUAAUAUAUUGGUAGAUAUGUAUAUUUUAUAAUAUCGAUAAAUUAUGUAUGUAUGUAUGUAUGUAUGUAUGUAUUUAUGUACAUAUGUAUGUAUGAUAGUGUGUAAAUAUUUGAUGUAACUUUUAUUCAAUAUAUAGAUAUUAAACGGGUUAUUGGGUAACCCGAUUAUUUUUCCGUGUCGGGUUUGGGUCUCAAUAUUUUGACACGAUUAUUAAAUGGGUCGGAUUUGGGUCGACCUAAAUUUGACACGACACGAAGCUGACACGACACGAACACGAUCCGAUGACCCGUUUUGCCAGCUCUAACUUUUACACUUAGGCACAAAAUUUUAAGUUUUCAAUCAUUGCUUAAGUGGUAAAGACCUAAAAGGGUAAUAUUGUCCAAAACCUUUGUUUACAGUUUCCUCCAAUGGUAGGCGUUUCUAUUGGUCAUACUUUUGAUGUUUUGUGCAGAAAAAUACACUCCAAAAUGUAACACAGACGUCAAUACAAGCCCCCGUUUUAUUCAAUUUUAAAAAACAAUUAGAAUUACCCUAUGACCCCGAAGUGAGUCCCCCUAAAUGGACAAAUAAGAAAUAACAUAACAUAAACCCUUAAUAAAAACCUUUUAAAAAAAAUUAACAAAUAAUAUUAUUAUUAUUAUUGUUAUAACUUGGCAAUUUUCCCCAACUCGCUAUCUUUUAUGCACACAAAUCUCUAACCCAAACUCAAACCCAAAAUUGUCUCUUGCCUCUCUCUUUCUCUUUCUCUUUCUCUUUCUCUUUCCUUUUUCUCUUCUGGGUCUCUUCUGUUUUCUGUUGUCUAAUUACAAAUUCAAUUCAAUUAAUUCAAACAGAUAAUGAAAAGCAAAACACGUUAAAAAAAGAAGCCCUUUUUUACCACCAAAUCGGGAAACGGACGAAAACCCUAACUGAGGCUUCUAUCGUCAAAGCUUCCUUUUCUGUUCAAAUUUAACUCUUUUUGUUCAAUACUCGAAACCCAUUUGCUAGAAUUUCAAGAUAAUUGUUGACAAAUUAGUUAAUUUUGCUUGCUAUGGAAGCGAUACCGCACCCUAUACCUAGAACUGUAGAGGAGGUUUUCAGCGAUUUUAAGGGCAGACGGGCUGGCUUGAUUAAGGCUUUAACAGCUGGUAAUGGCCUAAUAUUUUCUUCUCUUUUUCUUUGAAUUUAAUUAAUGGGUUUGUUCUAUUUUAGCUUAUGAUUAUUAGUUUUAAUUUUAAUUUUAAUUUUAAUUUUCUGGGUUGUUGCAGAUGUUGAGAAGUUCUACCAGCAGUGCGAUCCUGGUGGGUUUUUCUUUUCCAUACAUCUUUUUUGUUUAUUUAAUUGCAAUUGGACUUUGUUUUUUCCUUCUUCUUUUUUCUAUAUUUUUUGUAUUAUAUUGACUGAAUGACCAGGUAUUUAAUAAUCAGUAUGUGUUAUAUAUAGCUCUGUUUCAUGUAUAAGAGAGGCAAAUUAUGUUAUAGAAGCCAACUCGUUUAUUUUUUCAGUUGGAAGAAUUUUAAUGGAGACAAUGUCUGUGAUAUGAAUUAACUAAGUUCAUGCUUGUCUGAGUGUUUUGAGAUUGUACAAAGUCCAUGAUUUGUCUUUAAUUCAAGAUGAAAUGCUUGUUUUAAGGUAGUUUUGCUUGUUGUAGCACUUGGAGGCUUACAUUUUUUUUUGGUUCACUUACACGGUUAGUUUCUGUUUUAUUCAUGAAUUUCUGUGCUUCCUCACUUGCAUCGUCAAUAACUCCUUCCAUGAUGUUAUCUUCUGUAAACACACUUCUGUUUGCCUUUCACUAGUUUGAAGGACAUUUUUCAUUGAAAGAUCCAAAUGAAUUGAAAUUGCUGCUAUAAUGUAUUUGCUUUGCUGCUAAAGCAGGUCUAUGUAAAUAAACUAGAACUUGAAAAGUCUUAAAGUGUUGUUGUACCCAUAUACUUCAGUCCAGCUGGCUUCCUAGCUGCAGAAAAUCUCAAGCUUUUUUAUUCUUGACUGUCAGGUUCUUUUUUUUUUUUUUUUUUGUUGAAAAAUCCAAAAUUCUAGUGGUAUUUAUUUAUAUAUUUUUGGAUUGAUGCGCCUAUGUUUGUUGGAAGUGUGUUGUUAUCUUCUGUUGAGUCCUUGGCAUUUAUGUUUAUGCAGUUGUCCGUAUUUUUUUCUCGAGUUAUGUGGUAUCUGUUAUCAUAUUAAUUUUGAUUGUCUUUUUCUCAAGUUAUUUUGUAUACAUUUUAUUGUUUCUUUUAGUAGGCAUCGAUAUUUUCACUUUAGCCUUCCUACUUUCAUAUAUCAGCUGGAGUGGAAAGAUUGAAAGAUUAGUUUGGUUCACUUUUACAAUGAGCCACAUGUUAUUACAACACUGCAUCAUUUCGACCAAAUAGGGAAACUGCGACACAAGAAGAAUGCCCAUUGGAAAAUAGGGAUCGUGCAGCUGGCUGAUAGCAGAAAAUUCCUGAAUUCUUGGUGAUAGUGAUUAUUUAUGUUGGACUCCUGCUCUUAUGUCUGUGGAUCUGCCCACUAUUUUCAGUUUGAUCCUUCAAUCUAAUUUCCUUAUGGUUGUAUGUUUAUUGACUUAUAUUCUGUCAUGGUAUUAUGAUUUGAUAUCCUUUUCUUAUCAGGCGAGUUGGCUAACAUGAAGUUCACUUUACUAUUUUCGUCAAUGUUUAUUGGAGUGCAAAGCUUCGCCAUAUAGUGUGGUUUGUGACUGUUGUGUUGUCUAAUAUGUUGCCUUAUCUUCUUUUUGACUUGUUUGUAAAAAAUUAGAACUCUAAUUCUAAUUGUCAUUAUGUUUGGCUGCUAUACUCUAUGUUCACAGUCAAAUGUCAUCCCUUUUUCGUUUGUUUUUAUGGUUUAUGUCCAAAUGUUGCUAGAGCAGUUGAUGUCAAUAAAAGAGUAUCUUCCUGGACUAACAGUCUCCUUCUGCAUUCUUAAUGUUUUAUGAAACCAAGUACUUUUUUGUGCUUUUAGUUAUUGGUAUGAUAAAAUGAGAUCUGAUUAUAUGAACAAUUCAAGGCAGAUUGCACAUUUUUAUUUAAAAUACUAGUAUUGUGCAUACAGAAAAAGAGAACUUGUGCCUAUACGGGCUUCCUAAUGAGACAUGGGAAGUUAACCUGCCUGUUGAGGAAGUGCCUCCCGAGCUCCCUGAGCCAGCGUUAGGUAUAAACUUUGCUAGAGAUGGAAUGC
rnacentral:lncRNA from 1 species